rnacentral:rRNA from 1 species
AUACGUAGGGGGCGAGCGUUAUCCGGAUUUAUUGGGCGUAAAGGGUGCGUAGGCGGUAAAUUAAGUCUAAGGUUAAAGUGCAGGGCUCAACCCUGUAAUGCCUUAGAAACUGGUUUACUUGAGUUUGGUAGGGGUAAGUGGAACUCCAUGUGUAGCGGUAAUAUGCGUAAAUAUAUGGAAGAACACCAGUGGCGAAGGCGGCUUACUAGGCCACAACUGACGCUGAGGCACGAAAGCGAGGUGAGCAAACAGUAUUAGAUACCCUUGUAGUCCACGCUGUAAACGAUGAAUACUAAGUGUUGGAAAAAUCCAGUGCUGAAGUUAACGCAUUAAGUAUUCCGCCUGAGUAGUACGUACGCAAGUAUGAAACUCAAAUGAAUUGACGGGG